UACGGCAACAUCACGUUGAAACACCGUUUCCCGUACGAUCACCGAAGUUAAGCAACGUCAUGCAUGGUCACUACCUAGAAGGGGUACCACUUUGGAAUACCAAGUGCUGUAAG